AUAAAUAAAAAUGACUGAAAAAUUUACCAAUCGAAAGAGAAAGCUUCCAGAGCUUGGUGAUAAAGAGAAUAAUCAAUUAGUUGAUUGUGUUAUACCAAAAAUUGAUUCAAAU
rnacentral:ribozyme from 1 species